rnacentral:rRNA from 1 species
CCUACGGGCGGCAGCAGUAGGGAAUUUUCGUCAAUGGGCGCAAGCCUGAACGAGCAAUGCCGCGUGAACGAGGAAGGUCUUCGGAUCGUAAAGUUCUGUUGAAGGGGAAAAAGAGCGGAGAGAGGAAAUGCUUUCUGAGUGAUAUUACCCUUCGAGGAAGUCACGGCUAACUACGUGCCAGCAGCCGCGGUAAUACGUAGGUGGCGGGCGUUAUCCGGAAUGAUGGGGCGUAAAGGGUGCGUAGGCGGCCUGGUAAGUCUGGGGUGAAAGGUACCGGCUCAACCGGUACAGGCUCUGGAAACUGGCGGGCUAGAGAGCAGGAGAGGGCGGUGGAACUCCAUGUGUAGCGGUAAAAUGCGUAGAUAUAUGGAAGAACACCAGUGGCGAAGGCGGCCGCCUGGCCUGUUACUGACGCUGAGGCACGAAAGCGUGGGGAGCAAAUAGGAUUAGAUACCCGAGUAGUC